AUGUCUUCCUCCAGUGCCACCCAAUCCAAUCUAAGCGGUCAGGUCACAGAGAAGCUCUCCCGAACGAACUACGUCCUAUGGCGUACCCAAAUCACGCCGCAGUUGAGGGGAGCCGGCCUCUAUGGCUACGUCGACGGCACCCAGCCGGAGCCGUCCCGCCUUCUCGUCACCAAGGACAAGGAUGGGAAGGAGUCGUCCGAGCUCAAUCCUCUCCAUCCCAUCUGGGUAAGGGAGGACCAAUAGGUUUUAGGCUACCUGCUCAACAACCUCACCAAAGAGGUGCUCAUCGCGGUCACCGCGGUC
rnacentral:rRNA from 1 species